rnacentral:lncRNA from 1 species
AGCAGUGACAGUUGUAUGAAUGUCUCCAGCUGAAGUGGUGCGACCCUGACGAGGAGGGGCUGGUGAAGUUCCUGUGCGGCGACAAGCAGUUCAACGAGGAGCGCGUGCGCAACGGAGCCAAGAAACUGAUGAAGGCGCGCACCGGCACCACGCAGGGACGACUUGACGGAUUCUUUAAGGUAUUAUCAACAACACCAAAUCCUAAACGUAAGGCUGAAGAAGAGAAAAAGAACGCGAACAAAAAGGCCAAAACCGGCGGCGGCAGGGGUCGGAAACCCAAAUAACAGUGUUUGAUU